GUAUGCCAGGGUGAUCUGGCUGUGACAUCUGUCACCCCAUUGAUCACUAGGGUUGAUUCAGCUGAGAUGGCUACCUAGGCAAGUGUCCCCUUCCUCCUUCACUGCUUUAUGUGUGUUCAUGCCCAAGGUACCCCCCGGGUGAAGAGGAUGACCACCCCUAAUAGAGGAGGACCAUUUCCUUGGUCAACAGUAAAUGAGUAGCUGCACUCCCCUACUAGCACCUCCAAACAAGCUCCCACCUGAGAAGGGCCUUCUUGCUAAAAGAAUUAACUGAGAAAAGAAAUACAAAGCAUGUAGCAUAGCCUGAUCCUU
rnacentral:snRNA from 1 species